rnacentral:rRNA from 1 species
AACGAACGCUGGCGGCAUGCCUAACACAUGCAAGUCGAACGAGACCUUCGGGUCUAGUGGCGCACGGGUGCGUAACGCGUGGGAACCUGCCCUUAGGUUCGGAAUAACUCCCCGAAAGGGGUGCUAAUACCGGAUAAUGUCUUCGGACCAAAGAUUUAUCGCCUUUGGAUGGGCCCGCGUUGGAUUAGCUAGUUGGUAGGGUAAAAGCCUACCAAGGCGACGAUCCAUAGCUGGUCUGAGAGGAUGAUCAGCCACACUGGGACUGAGACACGGCCCAGACUCCUACGGGAGGCAGCAGUGGGGAAUAUUGGACAAUGGGCGAAAGCCUGAUCCGGCAAUGCCGCGUGAGCGAUGAAGGCCUUAGGGUUGUAAAGCUCCUUUACCCGGGAUGAUAAUGACAGUACCGGGAGAAUAAGCUCCGGCUAACUCCGUG